UGUCCAGAAUGCAGGGUUGUUUGCUCCAACGAAGACGCUUUGCUGAGCCACUUCUGCAGUCGCCACAUCAAGCAACCAGAGACUGGAAAAGAGAGUAAAAUUAAGCUGAUAGGCUCACCAAUGAUUGCAUCUGCUAAUCAUGAACUCAACGAAGUCAGCUCAAGGAAGUGGAAGGCAUGCUUGGAAAAUAGAAGUUUCCAUUAUGAAGGCAAAUUUUAGUAUAUUUCAAAUUUGUAACCAAAUGAUCUUGAAUGAAAAUUUGAUUGAACAUUUGUUAUCUGUCAAGAGAAACAGUUUGAAGUGAAUGAAUUAAGUAUUGCCUAUUGUCUAUAAGUUAAUUGUGUGACCUGAACCCUGUGAGGGAUAUUACUUAUUUUUAU